rnacentral:rRNA from 1 species
CACGUAGGGCGCGAGCGUUGUCCGGAAUUAUUGGGCGUAAAGAGCUCGUAGGUGGUUUGUCGCGUUGUUCGUGAAAACUCACAGCUUAACUGUGGGCGUGCGGGCGAUACGGGCAGACUGGAGUACUGCAGGGGAGACUGGAAUUCCUGGUGUAGCGGUGGAAUGCGCAGAUAUCAGGAGGAACACCGGUGGCGAAGGCGGGUCUCUGGGCAGUAACUGACGCUGAGGAGCGAAAGCGUGGGGAGCGAACAGG